UUGAGAAUUUCAUGGGCUAUUCUUGUUUCAUGGGCUUAUCCUUGAUGCCUUUUGGGACACUUCGGAUUGUUGAAAGAUUAAUAUUCUUGUUGCGUUUUUAAGCGCGAAGUAUCAGUGAAAUUUUCUUCGAUACGUUGGAAAGGUUAGGAAGACGAGAAUUUGACAUUGCCUCGUAGCUUCCCUUAUUGGUUUGGAGUGCGCUGGUGAUCGAAGUUGUGCUUUUUUGUCGGAACUAGUAAAGGAAGGCAUGGAUGAGAACCAGCAGCAAAGCAAAGAAAACAAAAGUGCUGAUGAGGUGCCACUUGAGUCUGUAAAUGGAAAGAAAACACUGAAAAAUGACGGUAAGGAAUACAUUGCUUGCACUAUAAAGUAUUGAAAGUAAUUUGCAACUCUCCAUAUUUGUUAUUUGUAACUGACAUGCUUUGCACAGGUGUUGUGGGGUUAGUGGAGAAGUUAACUGUAUUUCAAAAAUUAAAUCACUUUAAAUUGCAGUGAAAGCUAUUACUUUUAUAGUUAUAAAAGUAUCAAAGGUAACUUCUCUGAGAACCUUCUCCAGUGUCUGUGAUAUAGAAGUGUCCACUAAAUAUAGGUUCAUUUAUUAAGAAAUGUGGGAAGAAUAGUAUGCAACUGAAAAUACAAGUAAGUACUGGAAAAGAAUAUUUAUUCCUUGCUAGUAAUCUCAGAACAGCUGUG